AAUUAGUGAGAAGAGAGAUGGGAAAAAAUAGUUCUUCAAAAUUGGUUCGUGUGCUCAUGCUUCUCCUUCUUCUUAGCUUCAUCUUUCAACAUACCGAAUCAGCUUUGCCUGCUGAUCAUGGACUACCCUCAAUAACUGGGAGGAGAAUUUUGACUUUAUAUGCCAUAGGAACACCAUCGUCAAGAAGCGGACGUGGUGGAAUUGCCCACGGGAUCGGAGGAGACUGAUGAGUACGUAUAAGCCAAAUGGAGACAUUUACACAAGACUGUCGGGUAGUGGACAUGGCGGUGGUCACAUUCAUCAACAUCCCUAUCCUUAGAUUUUGAACAAUUUACAAAAUUGCAAACUUAUCUGUUUAUGUAUUUUUUUAUUUGUCUUUUAUGUGAUAACUAUAUAGAAAAAUAUAUUUUCUUGGAACUUAAACCAUGUAUAUCUAAAAUAAAGAGUAGAGGAUCAAGAAGUUUCAUAAAAUUAACUACGAGAGAAAAAGAGAAAGAGAGAUGGCAAAUUUGGGACUUGUGUUCUUGCUUCUAUUGUGUAUUGUGGUCUCUUGCUCGAACGAACGUGCUCUUGUGCCUCCACAAGAGCUAAGUUCAUUAACAGUUUGGAGAAGGAAGUUGAUACCAGUAAACCCAUCAAGAAGUCCACGAAGUCCUUCCUUUCCUCCGCCAAGGCCAAGGCCACGGUCGCCGCCGCCGCCACCACCACCAC